GACUCUGUGUAACAUGAGCGCCCUCUGCUGGUGCCCCUGCAGACUUGAGCGGUGCAGCCCGUGUAUCUUUGCCAGUCUGCACUAUGCUGUCCCCGUGAUUAAACGGCGUGCUGGUGCCAAAAGUAAAAGUGUUUGCCUGAUUCAUCACACAACGCAAGAGAGAGUACACAACCGCUACACAAG